CGCUGAUUGUGCCAACGGCGCUGGAGUAGCUGCUGGUGGCCGAGGUGACCUGCUGUUCGCCUAGGGUGAAUCUAAUCGGAUCGCAAACAGUCGAGUUCGUUCGAAAGUUCACCCACCCGCCUGCUAUUCUGUUGUUGUUAUUGCUGUUGCCCAUACUUGUUGCAUUAUUCAUGGAGGCUAGUGUAUCCAGGCCAGGCUCCAUCGAAGAUUCGUUUGGCUGUGCCGCCGACAAUGGCGGCAGCAAGGCGGCCUCAUGACCUUGUGCAUGGCGCCAUAUUAUGAGUGGUAAUAUUGUUGCAGGCGCAAAACUUGUCUGGAAUUUUAAUAAAUUUAAUGCGGACUAGCAUCUCGACCAAACCCCACCUCCCAACGCCCACUAUCCACCACCCACCAGCCAUCGCCCACCAUCUGCCAUCCGCCAUCCGCUGUGCACAAGUAGCGAUCCGAGCUUGUGUGCGCAACCUUUGACGUUGACUAAGUGUAUUAAAGUGAGAUAAAAAUCUCAGCUUUAAUGGAUUUUGCGGUCUAUUAGUGCAGUCAGCAGCAGCAGCAGCAGCAGCAGCAGCUGGCACGCACGGACUGGUGGCGACUUCUGGCAUACAGAAUCGGAGCGUAAUGAAUGUAUUGGCUUGUGAGGAAAAUGGAUGAGUUCACUUCCGGCAAAGCAAUGAAAAUGUGUGUGUGUUUGGGGUUCGCUGGGCCGGACAUAGUUAAGAGAUUAAAUUUGAUAGGUUCAAAUGAAAUGAAAUGUGUUGAAGAAACUUUGUUACUUGCCGCUCUAGCUGG